GGCGGUUCUCAGGUGAUGCAUCCCCUGAAUCAGGCUACCUCCUCUCUGGUUCUGGGUGCAUCACCUGAGAACCACC
rfam:Myotis lucifugus cont2.4877, whole genome shotgun sequence.